rnacentral:rRNA from 1 species
GAUGAACGCUGGCGGCGUGCCUAAUACAUGCAAGUCGAGCGAACAGAUAAGGAGCUUGCUCCUUUGACGUUAGCGGCGGACGGGUGAGUAACACGUGGAUAACCUACCUAUAAGACUGGGAUAACUUCGGGAAACCGGAGCUAAUACCGGAUAACAUAUUGAACCGCAUGGUUCAAUAGUGAAAGGCGGCUUUGCUGUCACUUAUAGAUGGAUCCGCGCCGUAUUAGCUAGUUGGUAAGGUAACGGCUUACCAAGGCAACGAUACGUAGCCGACCUGAGAGGGGGGAAGGGCAAAAGGGGAAGGGGAAAAGGGACCAAAACCAAAGGGGGGGAAGAGGUGGGAAAUUUUAGGAAAGGGGGAAAACCCGAAGGGGGAAACGCGGGGGAGGGAAGAAGGGGUUUGGAAUGGAAAAACCUUUUUAAAGGGAAAAAAAAAAGGGGAAAGAAACUGGGAACAUUUGAAGGGAAACGAAAAAAAAAACAACGGCAAACUAGGG